rnacentral:rRNA from 1 species
CGCAAUGGGCGAAAGUCUGACGGAGCGAUACCGCGUGAUGGACGAAGUGCCUCGGCACGUAAACAUCUUUUAUGUGGGACGAAAUUAUUGACGGUACCACAUGAAUAAGGGGCUCCUAACUCUGUGCCAGCAGGAGCGGUAAUACAGAGGCCCCAAGCAUUAUCCGGAAUCACUGGGCGUAAAGGGUGUCAAGGCGGGUAUAUUAGUCGUUCGUUAAAUCCGUGGGCUCAACCUACGGCGCGCGAGCGAAACGGUAUACCUAGAGGGCGCAAGAGGUCUGUGGAACUCAUGGUGUAGGGGUGAAAUCCGUUGAUAUCAUGGGGAACACCAAAGGCGAAGGCAGCAGACUGGUGCGUUCCUGACGCUCACACACGAAAGCCA